rnacentral:lncRNA from 1 species
CUCUUUCUGAAUCGAAUUCACUCAUACCUCUAGGCGUGGCAAGAUGAAAAAAGAAAUAUAUCCAGUAAGGACUAAAUUUGUUUUGUUAUAAAUCUGCAGCUGCUGGCUGUUUGAAACAUAUGCUUCUGAUCUAUUCCAAUUUUCUGUUAUCCUGCAAAAACAGGAUGAGCAAACAAUGCUGAUUCAGACUACAGGGACCAGAAUCAAGAAACCUCAUGAUCGGCAAAAUAAGCAUGGUAACUUCACUGCAGGAUUCCAGACUCUCAUACAGAAGAUAUAAAAUUACGUCGAAUUUAAACCAAACCUGUUUGUGUUUAAUUUGCAGAAAUCAAAAACCCUCCAAGAUUCCAGAGAACCAAGAGCACCCCAUCAUCUCUUUAUCUCCUGACCUGCCAAUGGGAGAAUAAAACACACUGAAAAUACU